rnacentral:rRNA from 1 species
CCUACGGGUAGCAGCAGUGAGGAAUAUUGGUCAAUGGGCGUAAGCCUGAACCAGCCAAGUCGCGUGAGGGAUGAAGGUUCUAUGGAUCGUAAACCUCUUUUAUAAGGGAAUAAAGUGUGGGACGUGUCCUGUUUUGUAUGUACCUUAUGAAUAAGGAUCGGCUAACUCCGUGCCAGCAGCCGCGGUAAUACGGAGGAUACGAGCGUUAUCCGGAUUUAUUGGGUUUAAAGGGUGCGUAGGGGGCAUUUUAAGUCAGCGUUGAAAGUCUGUGGCUUAACCAUAGAAUUGCCGUUGAAACUGGGAGGCUUGAGUAUGUUUGAGGCAGGCGGAAGGCGUGGUGUAGCGGUGAAAUGCUUAGAUAUCACGCAGAACCCCGAUUGCGAAGGCAGCCUGCCAAGCCAUGACUGACGCUGAUGCACGAAAGCGUGGGGAUCAAACAGGAUUAGAUACCCCAGUAGUC